rnacentral:rRNA from 1 species
CCUACGGGGGGCAGCAGUGAGGAAUAUUGGUCAAUGGGCGAAAGCCUGAACCAGCCAAGUCGCGUGAAGGAUGAAGGACCUAUGGUUUGUAAACCUCUUUUAUCUGGGAAUAAAGUGAUGAACGUGUUCCGUUUUGUAUGUACCCCAUGAAUAAGCAUCGGCUAACUCCGUGCCAGCAGCCGCGGUAAUACGGAGGAUGCGAGCGUUAUUCGGAUUUAUUGGGGUUAAAGGGUGCGUAAGUGGUGAAUUAAGUCCGGUGGGAAAGUUUGUGGCUCAACCAGCAAAUUGCCGUUGAAACUGGUUGACUUGAGUAUAUUAGAGGUAGGCGGAAUGCGUGGUGUAGCGGUGAAAUGCAUAGAUAUCACGCAGAACUCCGAUUGCGAAGGCAGCUUACUAGACUAUAACUGACACUGAGGCACGAAAGCGUGGGUAUCAAACAGGAUUAGAUACCCGGGUAGUC